AGAUGGGCUGGAAAUCCAAAUAUAGUUGUGGCAUUGAAGUUAUUAUCUCUAAACAUCUCGGCACAGUUGAUAGAUUUCCAAGUGGCUUCUACAGCAAGGGCGACACUGAAACCUUUUGUCCCAACCUUCCCAUGCUUUUCAAACAUAGUAGUAUCAUUGACGAAGAAGCCAGAGGUAGACUUUGGGCUAAAAGUAAUUGGAGGAGAUCUCAUGGCAAUCCCUGGUUUACACCAUUUUGUUCAGGAAACUAUAAGCAAGCAAGUCGCCAGACUUUACCUCUGGCCACAAACGCUUGACAUACCAAUUCUUGACAGUUCAAUUGGAGCUGUAAAGAAGCCUGUUGGAAUACUACAUGUGAAGGUUCUGAGAGCCCAGAAACUUCUGAACAUGGACUUUCUGAGUAAAUCAGAUCCAUAUGUUAAACUCAGCUUAGGUGGGGACAUGCUUCCA
rnacentral:misc_RNA from 1 species